rnacentral:rRNA from 1 species
AGCGAACGCUGGCGGCAGGCUUAACACAUGCAAGUCGAGCGCCCGUAGCAAUACGGGAGCGGUAGACGGGAGAGUAACACGUGGGAACAUGCCCUUCGGUUCGGAAUAACUCAGGGAAACUUGAGCUAAUACCGGAUACGUCCGUAAGGAGAAAGAUUUAUCGCCGAAGGAUUGGCCCCGCGUCCGAUUAGCUUGUUGGUGAGGUAAUGGCUCACCAAGGCGACGAUCGGUAGCUGGUCNGAGAGGAUGAUCAGCCUCACUGGGACUGAGACACGGCCCAGACUCCUACGGGAGGCAGCAGUGGGGAAUAUUGGACAAUGGGCGAAAGCCUGAUCCAGCCAUGCCGCGUGGGUGAUGAAGGCCUUAGGGUUGU